rnacentral:rRNA from 1 species
GAAGUUUUCAGAGAUGAGAAUGUGCCUUCGGGAACCGUGAGACAGGUGCUGCAUGGCUGUCGUCAGCUCGUGUUGUGAAAUGUUGGGUUAAGUCCCGCAACGAGCGCAACCCUUAUCCUUUGUUGCCAGCGGUCCGGCCGGGAACUCAAAGGAGACUGCCAGUGAUAAACUGGAGGAAGGUGGGGAUGACGUCAAGUCAUCAUGGCCCUUACGACCAGGGCUACACACGUGCUACAAUGGCGCAUACAAAGAGAAGCGACCUCGCGAGAGCAAGCGGACCUCAUAAAGUGCGUCGUAGUCCGGAUUGGAGUCUGCAACUCGACUCCAUGAAGUCGGAAUCGCUAGUAAUCGUGGAUCAGAAUGCCACGGUGAAUACGUUCCCGGGCCUUGUACACACCGCCCGUCACACCAUGGGAGUGGGUUGCAAAAGAAGUAG